rnacentral:lncRNA from 1 species
GUAUGGGACUGCAGGUGGAGGUAUCGAGGUAUGGGACUGUAGGUGUGGGUAUAGAGGUAUGGGACUGCAAGUGUGGGUAUAGAGGUAUGGGACUGUAGGUGGAGGUAUAGAGGUAUGGGACUGUAGGUGGAGGUAUAGGACUGUAGGUGGAUGUAUAGAGGUAUGGGACUGCAGGUAUAGAGGUAUGGGACUGUAUGUUUAGAGGUAUAGAGGUAUGGGACUGUAGGUGGAGGUGGAGAGGUAUGGGACUGUAGGUGGAGGUAUAGAGGUAUGGGACUGCAGUUGGAGGUAUAGAGGUAUGGGACUGCAGGUGGAGGUAUAGAGGUGUGGGACUGUAGGUGGAGGUAUAGAGGUAUGGGACUGCAGGUGGAGGUAUAGAGGUAUGGGACUGUAUGUGGAGGUAUAGAGGUAUGGGACUGUAGUCGGAGGUAUGGGACUGUAGGUAUAGAGGUAUGGGACUGUAGGUGGAGGUUUAGAGGUAAGGGACUGUAGGUGGAGGUAUAGAGGUAUGGGACUGCAGGUGGAGGUAUAGAGGUAUG